rnacentral:rRNA from 1 species
UACGUAGGGGGCAAGCGUUGUCCGGAUUUAUUGGGCGUAAAGCGCUCGCAGGCGGUCCGAUGCGUCGUGUGUGAAAGACCCCGGCUCAACUGGGGGAGGUCGUGCGAUACGGUCGGACUCGAGGCCAGUAGGGGGAUGCGGAAUUCCGGGUGUAGUGGUGGAAUGCGUAGAGAUCCGGAAGAACUCCGGUGGCGAAGGCGGUUGGCUGGGCCACAACUGACACUGAUGCGCGACAGCGUGGGGAGCAAACAGG